UGCUUAACACAUGCAAGUCGAACGGCAGCACGAUACGUAGAAAUACGUAUGGGUGGCGAGUGGCGGACGGGUGAGUAACGCGUAGGAAUCUACCGUGUAGAGUGGGAUAACUCUAGGAAACUGGAGCUAAUACUGCAUAGCUUUGAGAGAAGAAAGCUGGGUUUACCUGGCGCUACAUGAGGAGCCUGCGUCCGAUUAGCUAGUUGGUUAGGUAAGAGCUGACCAAGGCGAUGAUCGGUAGCUGGUCUGAGAGGAUGAUCAGCCACACUGGGACUGAGACACGGCCCAGACUCCUACGGGAGGCAGCAGUGGGGAAUAUUGGACAAUGGGGGCAACCCUGAUCCCGCUUUCCGCGUGUGUGAAGAAGGCCUUCGGGUUGUAACGCGC
rnacentral:rRNA from 1 species